GAGUUUGAUCCUGGCUCAGGAUGAACGCUAGCGGCAGGCUUCAUACAUGCAAGUCGGGGGGCAGCAUAAAUUACUUGUAAUUUGAUGGCGACCGGCGAACGGGUGCGUAACGCGUAUGCAACUUACCUUUUACUAAAGAAUAGCCAAAAGAAAUUUUGAUUAAGGCUCUAUGUUCUUAUUUACUCGCAGGAGUAAAUAACCAAAGCUCCGGCGGUAAAAAAUGGGCAUGCGCCCUAUUAUCUUGAAGGGGAGGAAAGGGCUCACCUAACCUCCGAUAGGUAGGGGUCCUGAGAGGGAGAUCCCCCACACUGGUACUGAGACACGGACCAGACUUCUACGGAAGGCAGUAGUAAGGAAUAUUGUACAAUGGAGGCAACUCUGAUCCAUCCAUGCCGCGUGAAGGAAGACGGCCUUAUGGGUUGUAACCUUCUUUUAUACAGGAAGAAACCUUUC
rnacentral:rRNA from 1 species